UACGGAGGGUGCAAGCGUUAAUCGGAAUUACUGGGCGUAAAGCGUGCGUAGGCGGUUCGUUAAGUCUGCUGUGAAAGCCCCGGGCUCAACCUGGGAAUGGCAGUGGAUACUGGCGAGCUAGAGUGUGAUAGAGGAUGGUGGAAUUCCCGGUGUAGCGGUGAAAUGCGUAGAGAUCGGGAGGAACAUCAGUGGCGAAGGCGGCCAUCUGGAUCAACACUGACGCUGAGGCACGAAAGCGUGGGAGCAACAG
rnacentral:rRNA from 1 species